rnacentral:rRNA from 1 species
CCUACGGGAGGCAGCAGUGAGGAAUAUUGGACAAUGGGCGCAAGCCUGAUCCAGCCAUGCCGCGUGCAGGAUGACGGUCCUAUGGAUUGUAAACUGCUUUUGUACAGGAAGAAACCCUUUCACGUGUGGAAGAUUGACGGUACUGUAAGAAUAAGGAUCGGCUAACUCCGUGCCAGCAGCCGCGGUAAUACGGAGGAUCCAAGCGUUAUCCGGAAUCAUUGGGUUUAAAGGGUCCGUAGGCGGUUUAGUAAGUCAGUGGUGAAAGCCCAUCGCUCAACGGUGGAACGGCCAUUGAUACUGCUAGACUUGAAUUAUUAGGAAGUAACUAGAAUAUGUAGUGUAGCGGUGAAAUGCUUAGAGAUUACAUGGAAUACCAAUUGCGAAGGCAGGUUACUACUAAUGGAUUGACGCUGAUGGACGAAAGCGUGGGUAGCGAACAGGAUUAGAUACCCUGGUAGUCCACGCCGUAAACGAUGGAUACUAGCUGUUGGGCGCAAGUUCAGUGGNGUAGAGAAGUAGAGUAAGUAGUACCACCGUCGGGAGGUAACGGUUCGUCGAAGAAGUAGAAACGUUACGAAGGAAGUUAGUUACGGCGUUGAGACGNGCCGACGGACGACGACGACGGGAGGAGGAG